rnacentral:lncRNA from 1 species
UUUGAAAUUGAUAUGUAGCCCAUGAUUGGAAAAAUAGAAACAUAUUUUAAUUUGUAAGAAACAAUCGUAUGAUAUACCUUACACAACAAGCUCUGAUAGGAAGAACAUCGGAUUGAUUUGGAACUAUUUGAGAACAAGAAAAAGGGGAGCUCCCUAGUUAUGGGGAUUUGUACAUUCUUACCAACAGCAAAGAAGGCUUCCAUUGUUCCUGUUGUAGGCUGAUUUGGUUCAACACAGGCCAUUGAAGAUGAAGGUUUGAGAACUAGAGAUUUUAGCCUGCUAGAAUGCUGGAAUUUAGCUUCCUUGAGACUGAAAUGAUGUUUAAGAUCCCUUGAUUUGACUAUGGAACUCACACCAUUGACACCAAUGCUUGCGCCUUACAGGUCAGUCGGUGUUGAUAAUAUCCAACUCUAAACUCGUCUCUCUGGUGCAUUCCUCUGUCAAAAUAUCAUCUGAAAGUUUCAGUGUUGCGUGAAAGAAAUUUGGUGAAAUUAUCAUGAAAUGAGUGAGGUACUUCUACUAAAAAAAUGAGUAAAUUAAUCCUGUAGUAUGAAGAUGAAAGAGCAAAAUAACCAUCCCAUUAAGAAAGAAGCUUUAAGUAACGGUAAAGACAGCGAUGUCGUGCCCAAGAGAACCUAGCUCGGAUACGAGAUUGAAGAACAAAUAGCUGACAAACGGAAAAAUAAAAUAAAAUAAAAAGAACAAAGGGAUGAUGAUUUAUUCAAUGAAAUGAUUUAUUCAAUGAAAUGAGUGCAUAUUUAUAGGCUUAGCAAAGACCUAUUUUUAGGCAAAAUAAAUUCACUAAAAAUUUAGUAACAGCCAAACAAAUAAGUAAAAAAUAGCUAACAAAUAAAUAGCGAAAAUAUGAUGAUAGACUUGGUCAAUAAAUGACCACGUGUUGAUGUUGAUAUCUUCAAUAGUUAGCAUCCGCAUAACCGAAUAAAGAAGGACGAAAAACAAUCCCAUACUCAUAAUAAUGGUGAACGCCAUGAUUGCGACACAUGAAAGUAAAGCCUGCAACCAAUUAUUGCGGUUACUAAAGAGUUCAAAGAAAUGUCAAAUUAUAGUACUAAAUUAUCAGAUUCUUGUGAAAUGUAAAUUUGGUUUUUAGUUAAACUAUUUUAAUUUAAUAGAGGUUUGGAUUUUGUUUUUGCAUUUUUGUAUCUUUCUUCUCUUAUUUGCUAGCAACUUCAUUUAAUUAUUUAAAAGUUUUCAUUUAAAUUAUUAAUCAACUAAAAUAAUUGAUGUAUAAUUUUUUAUUGUGCUCGCUUGUACGAAUCAACAGCUAUUAUUCUUUUUUUUCCUCAGUAUUUUCAUAGAGCUCGCUAGACUUAAAAAAAAAAAAACAUCACAGUAACCUACAUAAAAUAAUACCAAGAAGCCCCUUUACUGUAAUAUAACAUCGACAAGAGGCUGAAGAUCCCUGUCAAGCAAAUUGUACUCUCAUAUGCUCCUAUAAUAUUCACAAUACAUAAUGACAUAAAUUCCAUGAAAGUCCAUAUACUAAGAGUCAAAUUUAUUUACAUUUUUAUUUUCAUAAAGUAGGUUGGAUAAAAUUGAAUUUAACAUUUUUGGUUUUUCAUCGAUUAAAUAAAUGUUUUUAGAAUCAAACUAGAUCGUUCGGUUGAAAAUUUAAUUGAUUGCAGUAUUGGUCUGAAGAUAAAGGUUAAAUCGAUUGACCUGUGAAGUGAAACAAAUAACCAAGUUUAGAAAAAUCGGUGAAUUUUCUCUAUUCUUUAAAUAAUUUAUUUUUUAUUUUACGAUUUUUUUUAAACAAAUAACCAAUCUUAAACCUCCCGCCAAUGCAAGUCCGGUCUGCCUUUAAUCGUCGACAGUGUAUGAUAGUAAGACUGUAUAUCGGAGAGACAAUACACAUCUCCUUUGCGUGCUAGAUGGUCCAGAUUUAAUGAAUCGCUAACUAUUGAAGAGAGGAGAAAUUGUUAUCUCUAAUGUUUCCAACCUUGUGAAUUCAGGUAAUGCUUCCUCUUAUCUAUUAUCUUACUAUGAACAUGUCUGCAAAUGGUAAGAGUUGGCUGAUGGACAUAGGUAAUCUGCAUAUGUAAUGUAAGUUCUUGAAAUGUGAUCAUCACAGAAGUUAAAAACUUAGGUCCUUGACACUAUGGCUUUUCUAGUCUAAUAUGAGAAAUGGAUUGUCCAAUAUCAUGUUAAUUAUGCAUCUUAGAUAGCAAAGGCUAGUUGGAUCGGGAUAUUGAUCUGAAAUAAGAGAUUGGAUUGUCUGACUCUAGAAAUGGUAUGAACCAGUUAAACCAACCGUUGGAGUAAAAAUCUUGAAAAUCUUAUUGGAACUUAUCAUAGGCCAAAGUUAGGUUCAAUCAAGUUUUUGUAAUAACCUAAACUCACAAGAGAAGAAAAAGAGAAAUGUUAUCGUAAUUGUAAAUAUCGAAAAUAAUCAAUUACAAUAAAUACGAGUAUUUAAACAUAAUUUCAUACUAAAUCGAGAAUAAGUGUCUUUAAAUUAGACACACGCAUUAUGUCUUGUUCUUUUCUUCAGGAGAUGCUGCGGGUUACAUACUUCACACUCGAUCAAUUAAAAAAAGACAUGAAGGAAUAGUACAGGUAAUAACUUUGAGAUUUACUUUGUACAUGUAUUAUAUUGCACAUUAGGUAAAAGUUAAGGGAUCAAUUUUGAUAUUAACCCUAAAUCUUAUAUAAAGCUAAGAAAGUACGGCAUUAAUAAGUUUUUUGUAUCUCAAGCGGAUUCUACCAAAGGUAAGAGCUUUCCUUAUCUUCCUUCCACAAAUCCGAGUCGGUGGCUGUCACCGCCACCCACGGCCGCCAUCAGAGUUCGAAGCCAGACAUAAGCUAGUGAAGCGGAACCACAAAACAAAAGCGAAAAACUCUCCGGUUCCUAUCGCCGGCCGUCGGACAGGUCUGCAGUUUUCUUAUCUUAUGGCGAUGUGUUCCGAAGACAGAAUCAGUAGUUUACCGGAUCAUAUUCUUUGUCAUAUUUUGUCUUUCCUUCCUCUUAAAGAAGCAGUUCGAACCUCUGUUAUUUCAACCAAGUGGAGAUACCUCUUUGCUUCAAUUUCUACCAUUGAAUUUGAUGAUAGUUUACUGAGUGGUUUGACUGACAGAAAUGUUGACAGCUUCAAGAACUUUGUUGAUAGGUUAUUGAAAUUCCCCGAUCAGGUAAGUUUAGAUUGCUUUAGGCUAAGUGAUGGGAUUUCAUUGAAUGAUGAAGAUCAUGAUUUUGAUGUUUCUGGUUGGAUAUGUGCUGCAUUGUGCCGUGGUGUUAAGGAAAUUGAUUUGUUCUUAGAUUAUUUUGGGUGUGUUCUCACUGUACCAGCUGUUUUAUUCACUUGCCACUCACUGGUGACACUGAAAUUGAAUGCAGAAUGUCGUAAGAUUGAUGUCCCAUCUGACGUUUGUUUAGGAAAUCUGAAGACUUUGCAGCUUAGAAACACUGUAGUUGACGGUGAUUCCAUUCAUAGGUUAAUUUCCAAUUGCCAUGUCUUAGAAGAUUUGGCUUUUAUUGAAUGUCAUCUUAUGUAUGCAAGUGCGCUCAAUAUCAAAACUCCUUCUCUUAAGAGAUUGGUUUUAGAUUUGGAUGUGGUAGAAUACGGAGAUUUCAAUAAUGUGGUGGUGAUUAAUGCUCCAAAUCUUGAAAAAGCCGAUAUUAGCAUCUAUCUGUUUGGUUUCAGUGAUCGUGAAACAAGUGCAACUCAUCUUAUUCAAGGAAUUAUUCAAGGAAUUUGCACUGUGCGGUCUCUGAAUUUAACCAUUAAUGACCUGGUUAGUAAACUUAGUAUUCAUGUGUGAUUUUCCUUUUUAACAUCAUAUAAUUUAACAUUAUAUAAUAGCCUCAAGUAUUUUUGUGUGCAGAUUUUCCGAACGUGUCGACUUCCUAUAUUUCACAACCUUAUUAAAUUUGAAUAUGGUGUUCUUGGUUCUAAUGGGAGAGAAACUUGGCUUGUGGAGUUUCUACAUUGUGCGCCUAAUCUAAAUACGCUUACCCUCAAUUUUCUGGUAUGAAGUCUUUUUCUGAGUACGUGUAUUCGUUGCGAUUGAUUGUUUUAGUGUCAGUUAUAUUCGUAAUUACGAUAAACUUAAAAGAAAUCGAAAGCAUGUUUGGGAUCAACUAAAUUCAUGGUACAAACCAAGUAACUUUUCUAAGUUUUCUUCUCUUGUCAUGAGUUUAGGUUGUUGUGGAAACUCAAUGGAAGGUUCUACAUAUGGAAGUUCCUUCUUGUUUGUCUUUGCACCUCAAGGAGAUUAAAAUUUUGAACUUUAAGGGAGACAUGCGAAUGUUUGAAAUGAUUAGUUAUUUCUUGGAUAAUGCUAUGGUCUUGGAAAAGCUCAUGAUAGGAAUGAAAUCCCUGUCCGAGACACAACAAUCGAUUGUCUUCAACCAAUUACUGCAGUUACCUAAGAGUUCAAAGAAAUGUCAAGUUGUGAUUUUCUAGUACUGUUUUAUGUUAUGGCUAGAACUGAUCAGUGUCUGGUUUGGUUUUGUAUAGAUGUGUUGUUUGAAAUAUACAUUUGGUGUUAAUAUCCUAUACAGUCACUAAUGGCAAUACUGAAUAUCUGAUAGUUGGUUUAUAUAUGUAUUUGUGAAUGUAUAUUUAUGGGUAUAUAUAUGUAUUGUAGCCAAAAAUAGCCUUUGAAAUUGAUAUGUAGCCCAUGAUUGGAAAAAUAGAAACAUAUUUUAAUUUGUAAGAAACAAUCGUAUGAUAUACCUUACACAACAAGCUCUGAUAGGAAGAACAUCAGAUUGAUUUGGAACUAUUUGAGAAGAAGAAAAAGGGGAGCUCUCUAGUUAUGGUGAUUUGUACAUUCUUACCAACAACAAAGAAGGCUUCCAUUGUUCCUGUUAUAGGCUAGCAUUGGUUCAACACAGGCCAUUGAAGAUGAAGGUUUGAGAACUUGAGAUUUUAGCCUGCUAGAAUGCUGGAAUUUAGCUUCCUUGAGACUGAAAUGAUGUUUAAGAUCCCUUGAUUUGACAAUGGAACUCACACCAUUGACUUCAAUGCUUGCGCCUUACAGGUCAGUCAGUGUUGAGAAUAUCCAACUCUAAACUCGUCUCUCUGGUGCAUUCCUCUGUCAAAAUAUCAUCUGAAAGUUUCAGUGUUGCGUGAAAGAAAUUUGGUGAAAUUAUCAUGAAAUUAUGAGUGAGGUACUUUUACUAAAAAAAAGAGUAAAUUAAUCCUGUAGUAUGAAGAUUAAAGAGCAAAAUAAUCAUCCCAUUAAGAAAAAGGCUUUAAGUAACAGUAAAGACAGCGAUGUCGUGCCCAAGAGAACCUAGCUCGGAUACGAGAUUGAAGAACAAAUAGCUGACAAACGGAAAAAUAAAAUAAAAUAAAAAGAACAAAUAACUAACAGGAAGAAUAAGACGCAAAGGGAUGAUGAUUUAUUCAAUGAAAUGAGUGCAUAUUUAUAGGCUUAGCAAAGACCUAUUUUUAGGCUAAACAAAUUCACUAAAAAUUUGGAAACAGCCAAACAAAUAAGUAAAAAAUAGCUAACAAAUAAAUAGCGAAAAUAUGA